rnacentral:rRNA from 1 species
AUUGAACGCUAACGGCGUGCUUAACACAUGCAAGUCGAGCGGCAGCAUGACUGUAGCAAUACAGUUGAUGGCGAGCGGCGGACGGGUGAGUAAUGCAUAGGAAUCUGCCUUGUAGUGGGGGAUAACCCGGGGAAACUCGGGCUAAUACCGCAUAAUCUCUACGGAGCAAAGUGGGGGAUCGUAAGACCUCACGCUAAAAGAUGAGCCUAUGUUGGAUUAGCUAGUUGGUGAGGUAAUGGCUCACCAAGGCGACGAUCCAUAGCUGGUCUGAGAGGAUGAUCAGCCACACUGGGACUGAGACACGGCCCAGACUCCUACGGGAGGCAGCAGUGGGGAAUAUUGGACAAUGGGCGAAAGCCUGAUUCAGCAACGCCGUGUGUGUGAAGAAGGCCUUCGGGUUGUAAAGCACUUUUAGUUGGGAAGAAAAGCUCAUGGGUAAUAUCCAUGAGUGCUGACGUUACCAACAGAAAAAGCACUGGCUAACUCUGUGCCAGCCGCCGCGGUAACAC